ACUCUCGAUCUCUCCGUCGACGCACCCCUCACCCUCGAUCUCUCUGUCGCCGCACCCUCACCCUCCCUCUCGAUCUCUCCAUCGCCGCCUCUACCUCAGCCAGCCGAUUGUAGCCGCACCGCCACCGUCGCCGACCGAAUAGCACAGGCAGAAGGGACGAUUCGCACGGAGCGAAGAGCACAGGCCGAAGUAAGGAGACUUUACCAGGUGGAGUUUCAGUCAAUAAAAAGAGAGUUGAAAAAGGGCUUUCACAACUAAAGCUUAAAACAAUGGCCAUGAGUACUUAUCCCCAAAAAAAUCAGAGCUCUAUCUCGCCGUUCUCCUGACUCCGCUACUCUCUCCAUUUCGCUGUCAUCUCUUGGUUUUCCGAGGUACUCUUGCUCGUCUUUGGUAUGCGUGGCGUCGUCUCCGGUGGUGGCUGUUCUCUCUUCUUGUUAAAGGUUAAUAUUUUGAUUGGUCUUAAAGCAUUGGAUUGGUAGCUAAUUGCAAGAGUUCACCUUCGACAAGCCAUAUACUACUCAAGAAAUUGAUGAAGUUAGAGAAGAAUGGGCAAUGUUAUUUUUACAUUUGGUUCGAGCAAAAUGAAUGAUGUUAUAGCUAGCUAAUUACAAUACAUGUUUAGAAAUUUUAAAUUUAUUUCGUAAAAUUUUUUGCCAUUUUUUUAGUAUUUUCUUUUCAAAUUUCUUUUGAUACAUAUUCGACACUCAAAUGGAUAUAUAUAUUUUUAAAUCAAAAUUAAAAUUGUAGCUGUA